UACACUACACCUGUGACGCGCUUUCACUUUUGAAAAGUGAAGACGUUGAAGACCGACUUUGAAAGAUAUUCUGUGGAUAUUAUGGGGUUUACAGAAGACUGAGGUGGAGGAACAUAAAGUACAGGGCGGCAGUCGUCAGGUGUAGGCAAAUCAUUUAUAGACAAGACAGAGGAUGCAGCUCAGAUGAAUCUCCGGAAAGAACUGAACAUCGCGAAUGUGGAAGUGCACGAAGGUUUUUAAACGACGCCUCGAUUCAUGUCCCGACAUAAACUUGGAAACCGACGUCAAUCACCUUAUUUAUGGCUGCUGUGGCACGGAGGCAAUGCGGUGUGUAGGUCUUGAUGUACUUUGACGACUUAUCGGUCACACAUCCUGUGAAGGACCUUUUUGCUAAAGCCUAAUGUCAUCGUCUACCAGUAGGUACAAUUCCGCAUCACCGAUGACCAGGGUAAAGUUGUAGCAGACGAAAUUUUAGACAUGCAUUAGUAACUAAAGGCAUUGUUUACAGAAAUGCUUUUUAUCAAUUAUUGAUGAAAGUACACUGCUUGGAAUACAAAUAAAACCAUAAAUACAU